CCUACGGGGGGCAGCAGUGAGGAAUAUUGGUCAAUGGACGCAAGUCUGAACCAGCCAAGUAGCGUGCAGGAUGACGGCCCUCCGGGUUGUAGACUGCUUUUAGUUGGGAAUAAAAGGGGGCUCGUGAGCCCCGUAUUGUAUGUACCAUCAGAAAAAGGACCGGCUAAUUCCGUGCCAGCAGCCGCGGUAAUACGGAAGGUCCGGGCGUUAUCCGGAUUUAUUGGGUUUAAAGGGAGCGUAGGCCGGCUUUUAAGUCAGCGGUAAAAAUGCGGUGCUCAACGCCGUACAGCCGUUGAAACUGGCAGUCUUGAGUGGGCGAGAAGUAUGCGGAAUGCGUGGUGUAGCGGUGAAAGGCAUAGAUAUCACGCAGAACUCCGAUUGCGAAGGCAGCAUACCGGCGCCCGACUGACGCUGAGGCACGAAAGCGUGGGUAUCGAACAGGAUUAGAUACCCGGGUAGUC
rnacentral:rRNA from 1 species